rnacentral:lncRNA from 1 species
GUUGUUCACAUCCCUCUAGAAAAUCCAUAUAAACUAAAUCAUCUGCAAAAUCCUCAGUGUUAAUAACUCACAGACAAUCUGUUCCCAGUAACCAUCUUAUCAUGAACACUCUGGAGGUAAGGCUUCCAAGUUCAUUCAGUGGAACACCCAUCUGAAGACACAGCCAACAUGAGUACCACAUCAACGGUGCCAAUGCCACACACACAGCACACAAA